rnacentral:rRNA from 1 species
UGUUAUAUUCUACAAUCGUUAGCAAGCUAUCGAAAGCAGAGUAACCGUCAGAAGGUAGGUGACUAGCCCAAAAGCAUCCGCUGCAAUCCUCAAUCCCGGUCAUCACAUAUCCCAAGGUCUAUAACACUUCCCGAAAGAAGUCACAUUCCCUCAAUUUUUUGAUGGCAACCGAAAUUGAUGCUAACCUGCCAAACAAGAAAGUGCACAAGAAAGAUUGCUCCCGGGGGAACGACCCAUCAAGUUAAUUCCUUAUUAGCAUGACUGACUUCAAUCGUUUCCCUUUCAAAUAA